rnacentral:rRNA from 1 species
CCUACGGGUGGCAGCAGUGAGGAAUAUUGGUCAAUGGGCGGGAGCCUGAACCAGCCAAGUCGCGUGAGGGAAGAAGGUACUGAGUAUUGUAAACCUCUUUUGCCAGGGGACAAAGGCGGCCACGGGUGGCCGUAAGAGGGUACCUGGAGAAAAAGCAUCGGCUAACUCCGUGCCAGCAGCCGCGGUAAUACGUAGGGUGCGAGCGUUAAUCGGAAUUACUGGGCGUAAAGGGUGCGCAGGCGGUUGAGUAAGACAGAUGUGAAAUCCCCGAGCUUAACUCGGGAAUGGCAUAUGUGACUGCUCGACUAGAGUGUGUCAGAGGGAGGUGGAAUUCCACGUGUAGCAGUGAAAUGCGUAGAUAUGUGGAAGAACACCGAUGGCGAAGGCAGCCUCCUGGGACAUAACUGACGCUCAGGCACGAAAGCGUGGGGAGCAAACAGGAUUAGAUACCCUAGUAGUC